UACGUAGGGCGCGAGCGUUGUCCGGAAUUAUUGGGCGUAAAGAGCUCGUAGGCGGCCUGUUGCGUCCGCUGUGAAAUCCCAGGGCUCAACCCUGGGCGUGCAGUGGAUACGGGCAGGCUGGAGGCAGGCAGGGGAGAACGGAAUUCCCGGUGUAGCGGUGAAAUGCGCAGAUAUCGGGAGGAACACCGGUGGCGAAGGCGGGUCUCUGGACAGUUCCUGACGCUGAGGCACGAAGGCCAGGGGAGCAAACGGG
rnacentral:rRNA from 1 species